AAGGAUUCCCCUAGUAACUGCGAGUGAAGCGGGAAAAGCUCAAAUUUAAAAUCUGGUAGUCUUUGGCUAUCCGAGUUGUAAUCUAGAGAAGCGUUAUCCGCGCUGGACCGUGUAUAAGUCUCCUGGAACGGAGCGUCAUAGAGGGUGAGAAUCCCGUCUUUGACACGGACUCCCAGGGCUUUGUGAUGUGCUCUCAAAGAGUCGAGUUGUUUGGGAAUGCAGCUCUAAAUGGGUGGUAAAUUCCAUCUAAAGCUAAAUAUUGGCGAGAGACCGAUAGCGAACAAGUACCGUGAGGGAAAGAUGAAAAGAACUUUGGAAAGAGAGUUAAACAGUACGUGAAAUUGUUGAAAGGGAAACGCUUGAAGUCAGUCGCAUUGAUCAGGGAUCAACCUUGCUUUUUUGCUUGGUGUACUUCCUGGUUAAUGGGUCAGCAUCAAUUUUGACCAGUGGAAAAAGAUUAAGGGAAUGUGGCAUCUUCGGAUGUGUUAUAGCCUUUGGUCGCAUACAUUGGUUGGGAUUGAGGAACUCAGCACGCCGCAAGGCCGGGUUUUUAACCACGUUCGUGCUUAGGAUGCUGGCAUAAUGGCUUUAAUCGACCC
rnacentral:rRNA from 1 species